CCGAGGGAUGGAGUGGGAACGACUCUCGCGGGGGCCUUUCCUGGGCAUCGAACGGUCAGCUCAAAACUGGACCAAACAAGGGAAAUUCAUUUGUUUAAUUAAAACAAAGAUUUUGCAAUGGUCCCCGCGGAUGCUAGCAUAAUUUGAUUUAUGCCCAGUGCUUUAAAUGUAAAGCUUUAAAUGUCAAAGUGAAGAAAUUCAACCAAGCGCAAAUAAAUGGCGAGAGUAACUAUGACUCUCUUAAGGUAGCAAAAUACCUCGUCCUCUAGUUAGUGAUGCGCAUGAAUGGAUUAACGAGAUUCCCAUUGUCCUUGUCUACUAUCCAGCAAAACCACAGCCAAUGGACCGGGCUUGGCCGUAUUAGCGGGGAAAGAAGACCCUGUUGAGCUUGACUCUAGUCCAACUUUGUAGAAUGACUUUAGAGGUUUAGGAUAAGUGGGAGCCGAAAGAUGAAAGUGAAAUACCACUACUUUCAAUGUUAUUUUACUUAUUUUGUGAAUUAGAAGCGGGGAUUGCCCCUCUUUUGGACCUAAGGCUUGACUCUAUGGGUCGAUCAAAGUGGAAGACAUCGUCAGGUAGGGAGUUUAGUUGGGGCGGCACAUCUGUUAAAAGAUAACGCAAGUGUCCUGAGAUGAGUUGAAGGAGAACAGAAAUCUCCUGUGGAACAGAAGGGUAAAAACUCGUUUGAUUCUGAUUUCCAGUACGAAUACAAACCCUGAAAGCGUAGCCUAACGAUCCUUUAGACCUUUGGAAUUUGAAGCUAGAGAUGUCAGAAAAGUUACCACAUGGAGAACUGGGUUGUGGCAGCCAAGCGUUCAUAGCGACAUUGCUUUUUGAUCCUUUGAUGUCGGCUCUUCCUAUGAUUGUGAAGCAGAAUUCACCAAGUGUUCGAUUGUUCACCCACCAAUAGGGAAGGUGAGCUGGGUUUAGAUUAUCAUGAUAUAUGUUAUUUUUACCCUACUGAUGACAGUGUCUCAAUAGUAAUUCAACCUAGUACGAGAGAAAUCGUUGAUUUACAUAAUUGGUCAUCACACUUGGUUGAAAAGUCAGUGGCGCGAAGCAACCAUGCAUUGGAUUAUGAUUGAACACCUCUAAGUUAGAAUUUCGGCUAGAAGUGAUGCAUGCGCCCGCCGUCCGCUUUCCGACCCAAUGUGGGGGCAGAGUGGCCUUGCUGCCACAAUCCGCUGAGAUUCAGCCCUUUAUCGCAUUGAUUUGUCCCUCCCCCUCAACUCCUUUCUCAUUGCUUCGUUAAGGUUUCCCGCUCCUUGGUUGAGGCUUGAGAAUAUUUUGACCCGCAACUAAAGGCCUGGUCUUCAUUUUUCUCUUCAAAU
rnacentral:rRNA from 1 species